rnacentral:rRNA from 1 species
GACGAACGCUGGCGGCGUGCUUAAUACAUGCAAGUCGAACGGAAAGGCCCUGCUCUUGUGGGGUGCUCGAGUGGCGAACGGGUGAGUAACACGCGAGUAACCUGCCCUUGACUUUGGGAUAACAUCAGGAAACUGGGGCUAAUACCGGAUAGGAGCUCCUGCUGCAUGGUGGGGGUUGGAAAGUUUCGGCGUUUCGGGAUGGAGUCAGGGCUUAUCAGCUUGUUGGUGGGGUAGUGGCUUACCAAGGCUUUGACGGGUAGCCGACCUGAGAGGGUGACCGGCCCCAUAGGGCAAGGGAAGCGGCCAGGAGGACAUCGGGGGGAAGGAGGGGGGAAUUGGCGGAAAAGGGCGGAGGCGUGAAGAAGCGACCCCGGGUGCGAAAAGACGGUCUUGGGGUAGAAACCCGCUUUUACUUGAAAAGAAACGUAGUGACGGUAAAUAGUCAGAAAGGCACGGCUAACUACGUG